GGUGGGAGCUAAGGCAUAAAGCAUGUGGCUAGCAUACACAAGGCCUUGGGUUCAAGUCCCAGCACCA
rnacentral:tRNA from 1 species